rnacentral:lncRNA from 1 species
CUAGAUAGAACAUUGUCAGAUUUGGGUUUACACAAUAGGCAAGCACUGAUAAUCGUUCUUCGUAACGAAGUGGAUGUUACAUCAUUGCAUGGUCAAAACAAUCCGGCUGAGAGUAACCAUACAGCAAUUGGAGGCGAUGCAGGAUAUUUUGCUACGAUCAGAAAACUCUUUUCGUAUGUAAAUCCUUUAUCUUACCUUGGUGGAAGUUCUAACACAUCAAACACUGCUGAGGAUUCUCGAGAUAGCAUAUGGCAAUAUGGUAGUUUCCUUUCCUUUCUUCUUGACCUCUGUGACAGCUUCACUGCUAGAGAAUUAGAAAUUAAGGAUACGUUCAACAGAUUGCAUUACUUGCACUUUCUUAGAUCAGCUUUUGAGUUGCUUGAAAUUUUUUAUAAGACUUGCAUUAACAGACACUCUACACCAUCAUUUUUUGCUAAUACAACAGUGUCGGUUCCAAACAUGUAGGGGUUGGCUAUAUGAAUCAUUGCUGACUAUUUUUCUCCAUUUAAAUUAAUCUAUGGACAAGAUUAUGCAAAGUGAAUAAAAAGCACUAGAAGUUCUUUUCAUUUUCUGUAGUAUUAUUUGAAAACACCUUUUUCCCAAUUUUGUGCCUGACUUUUGACUCUGUCAGGUGUAAUUGCUUCUCCAUGUGCUAAUAUCGUACUUUACACGAGCUUUUACAGAUUAAAUAAAAUAAUGAGUUUGUAACUGAGCUUUUCGAGAUCCACUAUCAGGUGUAUUAAAAAUGUUCUAUUUAUAAAUGGAUGAGAUCAGGGGAAUAACUAGGUAGGAGGAAAUUGAACCCCCUGUCAUUGAAAAAUUAUACAGGGUAAAUAAAGCGAAAACAGUUUUUUAUGGCUAUACAUGAAUUGUUGAAUCCCCAUGACAUAAGGGAGAUUACCCCAUGACCUAAGAUUUGAAUAUGUGACCUAAAGCACUUUUUGGCUAAACAUGAAUUGUUGAAUCCCCGUGAAGUGGCAAAGAGGUUCAAACAGUGCUUUAGGUCGCAUGUUCAAAUCUUAGUUAUAUCAUUCUAUUUUUUUUUAACCCCUUGUAAAUUUUGGGUUCGUCAUUGGAUAGGAGGCUGAUACAUUCAUGUGUUGACUGCCACUCUGUGUCAUGUUAAUUUGUUUUUGCUUAUCUGGAUAAUUUGGUACUGUGUUCUCAAUUUAUUGCCUCUGACAUGUAGGUCCAAACUCCACGCCUCAAAAUAAUCAGACCUUGGUAAGUAAGCAAUUCCAAACCCCCGUAACUUCCACAACUAAUAACAGAGGUAGAAAGCCAGCGUCAUCUAGCUUUGGGAGCAACAUCCACACUCUGAAACAUGAUGAAGAUGAAAAUCAGUUUGGUGAUAGAAACACAUUCUGGAAUGGUAAUUCUACUCAGUUUGGUGGAGAUGACAAUAGUAAAUAAGAUUCCAGUGCACUUUCUUGUAUAUUGAUGUGUCUAUAGUGUGCUACAGUUGGAUAUAUUCUUCCCGUUAAUCAUUGUAAUAAGUUUUGGAUUGAAGCCUGUUCCUUUUAUCUUUACAAUGAUUGGCUUAGCAUAAACUGGAGUCAAGUUUAGUAGCUCUAAACUUGGAGACGCAUUUUAUGGUUAGUGAAACUGUUGUAGAUGAUGUUUUGAGAACAAAUAAUCAUUAGCACUUGUACUUGAUCUUCUAAUAGAGUACUGAGACAAGUUUACCUUGAUUAGUCGAACAGGUUGAUUUUGCGUGUGCAUCUUAAUUUUUGGACCCACCCGAUAAACAAUGUUUAACAAAUAGCCU